AAAGGAUUAGUUAACCAUAUAACAUCAGAAUGUCAAACUGAAGUAAUCGAAUAAAGAUAUCCUUUU
rnacentral:tRNA from 1 species